UACGUAGGGUGCGAGCGUUGUCCGGAAUUAUUGGGCGUAAAGAGCUCGUAGGCGGUUUGUCGCGUCUGCCGUGAAAGUCCGGGGCUCAACUCCGGAUCUGCGGUGGGUACGGGCAGACUAGAGUGAUGUAGGGGAGACUGGAAUUCCUGGUGUAGCGGUGAAAUGCGCAGAUAUCAGGAGGAACACCGAUGGCGAAGGCAGAUCUCUGGGCCGUAACUGACGCUGAGGAGCGAAAGCAUGGGGAGCGAACAGG
rnacentral:rRNA from 1 species